UAUAAAUCUCAUUAAAACCUUUUACAUAUUUCUCUUCUCUUUCUUCUAUAUUGUAUUUUUACUUGCUAUCAGAGCCAGGGUGGUCUGACUGCAAUGAGGGCAUUACGAGUUCGGCAUCACUCAUUUGGGAAUGGUCUAAGGUAACAUCGCCCAUCCGGGAGGUGUUAGGUAGGCAGGAUGAUCCGACCUCAAUAAGGGCGUAGCGAGUUUGGCACCACCUAUUCAAAAAUAGUUUGAUUAGACAUAGUUGUUUCUUUUUUAUAGUCUGAGGAAACAUUGUUGAUUCUUUCUUCUACAUUGUUUAAACAUAUGUAUAAAGGGGAAUGGUCUGAGGAGACAUUGUUGAUUCUUCCAUCUACAUGUUUUAAACAUGUGAAGGGGAACAGUCUGAGGAGACAUUAUUGGUUGUUUACGGUCUAAGGAGACGUGAUUGGUUGUUUACGAUCUGAGGAGACAUUAUUAAUUGUUUAUGGUCUGAGGAGACAUUUUUGAUUUGUUGAUCGACAUUUUUAAUGUAGUCAGAUUUGCACUCUGCAACUUGUAGAUUCUAAAGAAGGGUACUAGCAAGACCCUGUUUGAAGAUGCGUUGUCCAAGUAGGGCGUUUCAAAUAUCCACGCACCAACAGGGGGAGUGUUAGCAUAUAUGAUAGCCACGAUUUAUGAAAUGACUUACCAUAUUAGCAUAGAUUUGCUUAUGCAUAUGUUAGCAUAUAUGAUAGCCAUGGUUUAUGGACUGACUUACCAUAUUAGCAGAGAUUUGAUUUAUAUUUGAUUUAGUUUCUUUUCUUGUAAUAUGAGCAUGUGCUCUUAUUUUAUCUAUAAAUACUAGAGCUGUGAAUGAGUGAUUAAUAUCAUUCAAGCUUUUACAUAUUAUAAAUCUCAUUAAAACCUUUUACAUAUUUCUCUUCUCUUUCUUCUAUAUUGUAUUUCUACUAUGGACAAUCUGUAAUCGCUACACAAGCACACGAUAUAUAUAUAUAUACACACACACACACAAACAGAUAGAAGGGGAGAGAGAAAGGUUAGGUCGGCAAGAAUUUUUAAUUUAUCAAAAAGAUGCGAAGAAGGAGAUGAAUAGUGUUUGUAACUAUGUGUAUAUGUGUGUGUGUGUGGGUUCUAUGGGUUCCAUGUUGACGCGAGCAGUAUCUCUUGUGGGUAGGUGGGGAUGAUCCAUCAUCCUAAUUUUCUUUGUUUGGGUGUAACAGUAAAGGGAGAGAGAGAGAUUAGGUCUGUACGAAUUUUUUUUUUUCCAUAAAGAUUCGAAGAAGAAGAAGAUAAAUAGUGUUUUUAACUAUAUGUGUGUGUUGUGUGUGUAUGUAUGUAUGUAUGUUUGUGUGUGGACAGAAGGGAUAAGGGCAUGUUUGGGUGCAACAGUAAAUUAGGGGUAUGUUUGGGUGUAACAGUAUGAUAAGGGUGUGUUUGGGUGUAAUGUUCACAAUAAGGGCUAAUAGGGCCUUUUCAUGCUCAUAAGGGCAUUAUGGGCAUUGAAUAUAUAUUGUGUGAUCACGUGACCGCACAUGAUGAUUUUGACAGCAACAUUCCACCGGCACAUCGCCAGAUGGGGCAAUCUGCAAUAAAAAUGUAUAGUUUAGGGGGCUUUUUGCAACUUUGGAAGUUUAGGGGGGUUUGUUGCUGAUUGGCCAAUAGUUCUGGGGUUUUUUUGCAUUUUACCCUUAUUUUAUCUAAAGGAAUCAAAUUCGACAGUCGCAUCCUGAUUUGGAUUUGGUUAGACAACAUUUAAAUUAAACAAAUACAUUACAAUUAUUGUACCUGAUCAGUUGAUAAUCAUUAUGUUGAGAUGCCCAUAUUUGUGAAGUGAAUAUUUACUCGUGAUUCUUAGAUUGAAUUGGUUUUUUUGUGAAUUCUUCUAAGUUCUGGUUUUGGAUUCUUCUUCAGAUGAAGCUACUAUGCUUGCUAUGACGAAGCAUUGUAGCGAGAAGGUCGAACUCCGACUUUUAUCUAGAGGGAAUGUGAUGAUUGCUGCUCAUGGAAAUUCAUUGAGGUCUAUCAUAAUAUAUAUCUCAGCAAAUUAGCUAUCCAAUAGGAAUGAAAAAUGGGGGAUCAGCUGAUUCGACACUCAUGUUCCAGUAUUUGAAUCGGAGCCCUUAAUACUCCACAAUUCUAAGACCCGAAAUGAAAGUGAAUUAGUUUCCACGCGUGCAACUUUCCUGCAGGCCAAUUGAAACUAUCAACUGGAUACCUAUGCUUUACAUAUUCAAAGAGGGAAAGUUUAUAAGGAGGGAAAGUCUUGAUGGUCCUAGCAAGGCAAGGGUAUACGUUUAUACUAAGGUGUGCACCCUUGGUGCUAUCUAAUCUACUCUGGCCUUCUUUAUUACUUUUCUUUACAAUUAGUUUUGUGUGGAAGUUAUAUGUCCUUAGAAUUAACCGUAUGGGGUUAGCUCGUUGUCAGUGAGAUGUGUGGUGGAUCAAAUCAGAGUUAUCAAUAAAGCAAAAAAUAAUAUGGAGUUAAUAUUUUUCUUUAAUCGAUUAGAAGCUGCCUGUAUUGGCUAUCCAUCUUGAUUUACUAGAACUGUCUUUGUACUAUGCCUCUGUUAAUUGAGUGUGUUGCAAGACGUGGUCUGGAUGUGGACAUAACA